rnacentral:rRNA from 1 species
GACGAACGCUGGCGGCGUGCCUAAUACAUGCAAGUAGGACGCAGUUGCGAACGGGUGAGUAACGCGUAGGUAACUGCCUAUUAGAGGGGGAUAACUAUUGGAAACGAUAGCUAAUACCGCAUACUAGUAGAUGGACCUGCGUUGUAUUAGCUAGUAGGUCGGGUAAUGGCCUACCUAGGCGACGAUACAUAGUCGAACUGAGAGUGUGAUCGGCCAAUCUGGGACUGAGUCACGUCCCAGACGCCUACGGGAGGCAGCAGUAGGGAAGCUUCGGCAAUGGGGGGAACCCUGACCGAGCAGCGGCGCGUGAGUGAAGAAGGUUUUCGGAUCGUAAAGCUAUGUUGUUAAGGAAGCGGUACUUAACCAGAAAGGGACGGCUAACUACGUGCCAGCAGCCGCGGUAAUUC